CUUUCUUGGUAGUUAAAAGUCUAAGAUUCAUUUUCUUUCAUGAUUAAAUCUGUGUUAGUUAAGGAUCUUUUCUGGAAUGGUAGCCCAGUGUGACAGAAAGAUAUUUAAGAAAAUCUGUAACAGUGAUGGAACUGAUAAUUAAUGAUGCUUUUCAGGAAAAUCUCCGAUCAGGUGAUUAUUUUUCUUUAAGCUUGACUCUGACACUCCAAAGUUAGAUCCUCAUAGUCAGGCCAGGUCUGAAGUUUUGCCCUGGAUAGGUUACAUCCACCCUUUCUAAGCCCAGGUAUAUCAGACCUCACACUGUCCAUGUUACAAGAUGCUGUGCCUUCCUGGAUACUGGAUUUCCCAAAACCCUAUCCAUCUAUAAGCCUUCUUACCAGCCUCACAGUGCCUCUUUACAGUGGACUGUCUCAGGAACUCACACAUAAUUCUGUGCCUGCAGGGAACUUCCCAACACAGAUGUCCAGGAGCAAAGCUAUUUAAAAUCACCUGCUUGAGAACAGGAACUGAACCUUUGUACAGCAAUGGAGAGCACUGCAAUCAAGUAGGGGCUCUAAGGGAAAGAAACAUGUUGUGAAAGUGUCCAAGGGACUCCAUCCCAGGAUACCUGCUGUUCUCUCCAAGAGGCCCUCGCCAUGGGUUUCAAAGGAGGUGAGAAUUAUCUGCCAGGACUCAGCAGGAGAAUCCAGUGCCUAAGACAUCAUCCCAAGGGAAUGCUAGAGAAGAUGGGCUACUGCUAUUCCCCUGUGUGAUGAAGCCAGCACAGCGCUGGGGACGUCAUCCAGGAAAGCCAGGGCUACAAAAGGAGGACGCACAGAGCAUGGGAGCCAUUUUUAGGCAUUUGUGAAAAUAUUGAAUUCACAGGGCAAGAUGGCGGUAUAGCAGCAGGAGGUACCGAGUUGUGCAGCGAAAAUGGAUGAUUAAUGAGUAGAAGGGAUACAAACAGCUGGCAGAAUCCUGAAAAAUUUAUGUCCCGAAGUCCUCCAGAGGCUGCUCAGGUCCACUCCAGCAGAAGCAGAGAGAGGACUGAAGGAUAGAGAAUGAGCAGCACAGGAAUGCAGUGAGGAGACAGGUGCCUCUUCCUCAGCAAACCAGGUGAGAGGUUGCAAUCCCACAAAGAUGCAGUGAGUGGGGACAUUUGGUGAACAGUGCUUGGGGCUCUAAGCAGGAAGAAGGAGAAAUUCUGAGGAAUGGGUGGAGAGAUAGAAUAUACCACAAUCCAUUGGUGUCUAUCCCCCCAACCAGAGAUACAGUUAGCGGGAUGAAACCAUAUUGGUUGUUUACAUUUUUGUGUGUAGGCAGCAUGCUGCCGUGUUCGCCCAGGUACGCAUACUCAUCGAUUGCAGAGGCCACCUCACAACAUGCACCACACGGGGACAAGGAUCACAACAAUUCAGAGUGAUUUCCCACCCACCAUGCAAGUUGUACAACAGCAAAUAAUGCUAAAUGAUAACCCUAGCUCGUUUUACAAACAAGUGAGCAGGGAGCCCAGCACCAGCAGGUGGGGCUUAGUGCACCAAAGCACUGGUACCCAGCUCCAUCAGGAAUCAGAAAUAAACAAAGCUCAGGGAGGUGGUACUGCAUGCACAUAGCAGCUCAUAGCAGAGGGAGAUCAAUUUAAAAAUAAAACCAAUCUGAAACCAAACAGAAAUGCCAAAGAACAAAGAACAAUUCUGAAUAAGAAUAACGAAGAAUUUGACCAGAUAAAAAAUGCAGUGGAAUCUCUUAGUAAUAGAACAGACGAAAUAGAAGAGUGAAUAUCAGAACUUGAAGACAAACUUCCAAAAAUAACAGUCAGAACAAACAUAAGAAGAAAAAUUUAGAAAAUGAAGAGUUGGUUGGAGAUUUACAAGAUUCCAUCAGGUGAUCCAACGUACAGAUCACAUAGAAGUUCCAGAAAGUGUGGAAAGAGAGAAAUAAUUAGAAGGCCUACUUAAUGAAAUUUUAUCAGAAAACUUCCACAAUAGGCAGAUUGAAAGAGACAUCCAAACACAAGAGAUACACAGAACUGCCAAUAGACAGGACCAGAAAAGGAGUUCACCACGACACAUUGUGGCAAUACUCAGCUCAGUGAAACACAAAGAACAGAUCUUAAAA